CAAAGAGUCAGACACAACUCAGUAACUGAACAACCACAACAAUCAAGGGGUAUUUUAAAAGCACUGGAAGGGGCUGGCUUUGUUAAGCAGAGAACCAACAAAUGUCCCUCACGUUUCCUGAGCAGGUCUGAACCUGGCUGACUCUGAAGCCUACCUCCUUAUCUACUUCACUCUUUCUGGAACUGAAUAAAUGAUGGGAUCAGUCAACCUCUGGAGGUCUUCUUUGCACAGGGCACUGCACACAUGUUCUCUUAUCAAGUGAUCGGACAACUCCAUGAAGCAGUGGUGCACCAUCAUCCUCUCCACUUCACUGACAGGCUGUGCGUUUUUUUUCAGUCAACACUAACAGACGCACAAGUGAGUCCAACUGAGACCAGAAGGCCCACCAGUCAAAGCUGCCCACCCAUGGAAUCCCAAGUAAAAGAAGUCACUAUUUGAUUCCACUCCAUUUGGGGAUGUUUGUUAUGCAGCAGAUUCUAACAGAUGCACUUUGGAUACAGGAGAAGGAAGGCUUCCCUGGUGGCUCAGUGGUAAAGAAUCCGCCUGCCCACACAGGAGACGCAGGUUCGGUCCCUGAUUCAGGAAGAUCCCACAUGCGGUGGAGCAACUAGCCUGUGCGUCACAGCUAUUGAGCCGGUGCUCUGAAGCCUGGGACCCACAGCAGCUGAGCGCAUGCGUGUUAGAGCCCGAGCUUCCCGGGAGAAGCCAGCUCAAUGAGAAACCCGCACACCACGACGCGACAGUGGCCCCCACUCACCGCAGCUAGAGUAAAGCUUGCGCAGCUGUGAAGACCCAGCACAGCCAGACGUACAGAAAAACACAUAAAAUUAUCAAAAAGUAAAACGUCACUGUCC
ensembl:lncRNA